AUACGAAGGGGGCUAGCGUUGUUCGGAAUUACUGGGCGUAAAGGAUGCGUAGGCGGAUAUGUAAGUCAGAUGUGAAAUACCCGGGCUCAACUUGGGUGCUGCAUUUGAUACUGGGUGUCUAGAGUGUGGAAGAGGUAAGUGGAAUUCCGAGUGUAGAGGUGAAAUUCGUAGAUAUUCGGAGGAACACCAGUGGCGAAGGCGGCUUACUGGUCCAUUACUGACGCUGAGGUGCGAAAGCGUGGGGAGC
rnacentral:rRNA from 1 species